UACGUAGGGUGCGAGCGUUGUCCGGAAUUAUUGGGCGUAAAGGGCUCGUAGGCGGUUUGUCGCGUCGGGAGUGAAAACCUUGGGCUUAACUCAGGGCUUGCUUUCGAUACGGGCAGACUAGAGGUAUGCAGGGGAGAACGGAAUUCCUGGUGUAGCGGUGAAAUGCGCAGAUAUCAGGAGGAACACCGGUGGCGAAGGCGGUUCUCUGGGCAUGAUCUGACGCUGAGGAGCGAAAGCCAGGGGAGCGAACGGG
rnacentral:rRNA from 1 species